GAUGAACGCUGGCGGCGUGCUUAACACAUGCAAGUCGAACGAUGAAGCCCAGCUUGCUGGGUGGAUUAGUGGCGAACGGGUGAGUAACACGUGAGUAACCUGCCCUUAACUCUGGGAUAAGCCUGGAAACUGGGUCUAAUACCGGAUAGGAGCGUCCACCGCAUGGUGGGUGUUGGAAAGAUUUAUCGGUCUUGGAUGGACUCGCGGCCUAUCAGCUUGUUGGUGAGGUAAUGGCUCACCAAGGCGACGACGGGUAGCCGGCCUGAGAGGGUGACCGGCCACACUGGGACUGAGACACGGCCCAGACUCCUACGGGAGGCAGCAGUGGGGAAUAUUGCACAAUGGGCGAAAGCCUGAUGCAGCGACGCCGCGUGAGGGAUGACGGCCUUCGGGUUGUAAACCUCUUUCAGUAGGGAAGAAGCGAAAGUGACGGUACCUGCAGAAGAAGCACCGGCUAACUACGUGCCAGCAGCCGCAGUAA
rnacentral:rRNA from 1 species